UGAGGAAUAUUGCGCAAUGAGCGAAAGCUUGACGCAGCGACGCCGCGUGGAGGAUGAAGGUUUUCGGAUUGUAAACUCCUGUUAAGUGGGAAGAAAGUCGCGUUUCUAAUAAAGACGUGAAAUGACGGUACCGCUAAAGAAAGCACCGGCUAACUUCGUGCCAGCAGCCGCGGUAAUACGAGGGGUGCUAGCGUUAUUCGGAAUCAUUGGGCGUAAAGGGUAUGUAGGCGGUUUAUUAAGUCUGCUGUUAAAUUUCUCAGCCUAACUGGGAGUCGGCGGUAGAAACUGGUUUACUAGAGUGUGGGAGAGAGAGGUGGAAUUCUCGGAGUAGCGGUAAAAUGCGUAGAUCUCGAGAGGAACACCGAUGGCGAAGGCAGCCUCUUGGCCCACUACUGACGCUGAGAUACGAAAGCGUGGGGAGCAAACAGG
rnacentral:rRNA from 1 species